rnacentral:rRNA from 1 species
CAGUAGCCGCGGUAAUACGAAGGGUGCAAGCGUUAAUCGGAAUUACUGGGCGUAAAGCGUGCGUAGGCGGUUUGUUAAGUCUGCUGUGAAAUCCCCGGGCUCAACCUGGGAAUGGCAGAGGAUACUGGCAAGCUAGAGUGUGUCAGAGGAUGGUGGAAUUCCCGGUGUAGCGGUGAAAUGCGUAGAGAUCGGGAGGAACAUCAGUGGCGAAGGCGGCCAUCUGGGACAACACUGACGCUGAGGCACGAAAGCGUGGGGAGCAAACAGGAUUAGAGACCCCCGUAGUCCCUGUCUCUUAUAC